CAAUAGCGUAUACUAAUGUUGUUGCAGUUAAAAAGCUCGUAGUUGAACUUCUGGUAGGAGUGUCCCGGCCUUUUUGUUUUUACAAAUUGUAUGCUGUGUGACAUCUCUGGCCAUCCUUCUUCUUUGUUUAAAGAAGACCUUUCACUGUAAAAAAAUUAGGGUGUUCAAAGCAAAAGUUUCUUUGGAAUAUAUUAGUAUGGGAUGAUAAGAUAGGCUCUAGAUGCUAUUUUGUUGGUUUGCACAUUUAGAGAAUGAUUAACAGGGACAGUUGGGGGUAUUCGUAUUUACAUGUCAGAGGUGAAAUUCUUGGAUUUUGGAAAGACGAACUACUGCGAAAGCAUUUACCAAGGAUGUUUUCAUUAA
rnacentral:rRNA from 1 species